CUGGAAAGCAAGGGAACUAGGUCUACAACCAAGAAUCAACUAUCCAGCAAAACUGACUAUAUUCUUUCAGGGGAAAGUAUGGUCAUUCAACAAAAUAGAAGAAUUUCAAGAAUUCGUAAAGAAAAGACCAGACCUGAACAGAAAAUUUGAUGUACAAGCACAGAACUCAAGAGAAUCAUCAAAAGAUAAUUGGCAUUGGGGAGAGUUUAUCUGUUCCAGAUGAAUUCACCAAAGAGGACAAAGUCACUGGCCAGAGGUUUAGACAGGUGUUGACUGGAGCAAUUGUACAACUCCUUGAGAAUGCCUGAAGAUCAUAAUGCAGGUGAGUUCAUGGUUCACUGUUUGCUGCUAUACAAAGGAAUCAUUUCAGAUUUAUUUGCACUAUUCCUGCCAGGAGAAACAUGGAGAGUUCCAACUAGGUCUUCACAGAGGUCAUGCCAAUUCAUAUUAAUCAUAAAUGAUCAGCAGAGCUAAGUCAAAGGCUAUUUGAAAUGAAUCUUGAAGACAAGCUAGGUAAGGCAUCAGCUUCUGUCCUCUUCCAGAGGAGUUAUAACUGGGCUACAUCUAAUGGUUUUGGCAAUUUGUCUGAUACCCUUCUGAUCAAUUGCUUUUUGCAGCUUGCUGAAAGAAAGGGUUUCAUACACAAGGACUUUUUGCUAUUCUACAGCAGUGUUCUGGGAGAUUUUGUCCCUGCAAUGACCAGGAGCUCUUCUUUGAGCUCAAACUUUACCAUCAUCAAAAAUGAAUCUCAAGAGUGAAUUUGAGAAUAUGUUGAAGGAAGCAGGAACCUUUUCCCUUUUAGGAAUGUAAUUAAAAUUGUAUCUGAGACAUAAUUAAAUUCAGUCCACAUGAAAAGGUACUUACUAUAUUAUUAUUAUUGCCUGUGGAAUUUAUUAACAAAUAAUGAUUGCAUUUUUUUAGUCCUUAGGUCUAUUUUCACAAAAACAAAGAACAUGGUUGUUAAUAUAAACAAAAACCGCUUUGUUUUUUCUCUAUAGACAUUUUUGUUAGUAAUGGUCACAGAUGGCUUCUGGAAUAAACCCCUUAUUAGUCAAGAUUACA
rnacentral:lncRNA from 1 species